AUAGGCAAGCGCGGCCACAUAGGCUAGACGCACUAUCUUCUCCUCUACCCCGCGCCGCCCUCCACCUCGGAGCGGGGACGUACGGUGGUGGCGGUGACACAAUGCGAGUGAGUGGAGCCUUUGGAAGGAAUUGGGCCAUGAGAAGAGCCCUCAUGAAUGGGAUUAGUUCCCUUAUAAGAAGAGACACCAAGGAAGUGAUCUUUCUCUGCCCUCUGCUAUGUGAAGACAAGGUCAUCUGCAGUUUUUUGUUGUUGUUGAUGAUCUUCCUGUCAUAGACAAUGCUGUAACAAACAGACUAGUAAGUAUACCUGUAUAAACUCCAGCAACUUUUUCUGUAAUGUUUCCUAGUUGAGAGGUUACUGGGCAAAAAGCAGACACGUAUAAAAUUCUACUAGAUAUUCUUAGAUUUUCUGUAAAGUUAGGACCAAGUUAAAUUUUUACAAGUAGUGUACCACAGUACAUGUUUUCCCCAAUACUAAAUAUUAGCAAAGUUUUUUGAAUUAUGCAAACCUGAUAGUCAAAAAAACCUCAUUAUUGUAACUGUGUUAUCUUGACUGCUAGUGAGGUUAC
rnacentral:lncRNA from 1 species